rnacentral:lncRNA from 12 species
AUUUGGAAGGUUCUAGAAGCAUUCAAAACAUUCUGUUCUUUGUGCCGGUUCAUCGGUGGGAGACCUGUGCUUUCAGUCAUUUUUGCCUGGGGUUGGGGGCUGUCCCUGCCAAUUCCCACUGCUACAAACCAUCCCAGAGCAGAGAGAAGCAGGGGAAAGACUGAAAGGGAAAGGAAGGAGAUAAGGGAACCAGUCCUCUGUUUGGGGCUCCUGUGCCAUUUUUGUCAAAGGCUCAACCAAGCCACCCUAUUGGCCAAGGGGCUCUCCUCGUCCACUGGGUGGACCAGUGCAGCCAGUCAGCCAGCACACUGGCCUAAUGCACUCCCUACAGCACACUUGCUGAAUCCCAUCACAGCUCUAGAUGCCCCAGUGCGCUCCCUCUCACAUCUGCACCGCGGGACUCAUCUCCUGCCGCCUUAUCUCUUCUCUUUUCCUUCGUAUGCCUCGUUCACAGCCACCUCCAAACCUCCGCUCAUACCAUUUCUACAGCUUGGAAUAUUCUCUUCCCUUUACUUGUUCAAUCUUUCACAGCCAGUCUCCAGACCUCUGUUGUCUCUGAAGCCGUCCCUGGCCGCUCCCGGCUUCUCCGCUGCUACUUUUACUUUGCUCUCUGGCCAGACUUGCAGGUGGUCUCCAGGUUAGCUAUUCAUAAAUACAGAGGGACUGAACACUACUCAGUGGUGAUUACAAUUUACUGAGCCUAUUAGGUACUAGAGAGUGUGUCUGCUUCCUCUUCCAUCUCUACCACAAAUCCGAGAACUUCGAGUUAUUCAUGUUAUUACCUAAUGUCGUGGAUUCACACUCUACGGAUCUGAAAUUUGAAGCAUCUUAACAACUGGUGGCAUCUUACAACUGCAGUGACUGUGAUGGAAGUCUGAUUGCUUCCAGGGAAUACCUGCAUUUGCUUCUGUCAGAACCUGGGACACUCCAAGCAGAGGCUACUUCAGAAUGAAUUCUAUGCCUGCUAGUGUGGACUCCAUCCACUGAGUGACCGGAGCACUGUUUUGUGGUACACAGCCUCACGGAAGUUUUAUUUUUCUCUCUGCCCCAUGUCUCCAGAUGGAGGCAGGCAUGUUUCCCCACCGACCUUUCUGCACAGCAGUCAUUUCUCUUUACUUUCACCCAGAGCAUGACUCUGGUGCCCCAGUUUUAUGUGCAGGUCUCCUGUUAGACUCUCCACCUUGGGCAUUUUUAAAUUUCUAAGUUGUGUUUAAAUCGAUGCUAUAUAAAAUAAUUGUUCGCACUUUAUCUCUAUGAUACGGUAAUUCCAUUUGCAUAUUUGAAAAAUGAAGGUGUUAGUUCAGAACCUGUGGGCAGAGGUGAGUGAAGGAAAAGUAAAGAGGCGCCUACAAAUGCCUGUUGAUUAAUUCACUGGUUGAUUGGUCCUGACCCUGCGUCUCUCGGAAUUAGAUUCUCAAUCGAUCCACUUUAUUCUGAAUCCAAAUCUCAGGUGAGCAGACUUUCAAAGAGGUACGCAUAGCUCGAUAUGUCAACUCGAGACAACAAAUGACAUUUAACUUGUCAUCAUUUCAAUCAUCGCAUCAGGGAUGGAAAGAGAGAAGUUGGGACUGUCCUGUGAGCACGUCUCAGGGCAGAGCAGAGGCCAGGUGGCUCCUCACCUUCCACCUCCAGCUCAGCUCAG